rnacentral:rRNA from 1 species
AUUGAACGCUGGCGGCAUGCUUUACACAUGCAAGUCGAACGGUAACAGGCCGCAAGGUGCUGACGAGUGGCGAACGGGUGAGUAAUGCAUCGGAACGUGCCCAGUCGUGGGGGAUAACGCAGCGAAAGCUGCGCUAAUACCGCAUACGAUCUAUGGAUGAAAGCGGGGGACCGUAAGGCCUCGCGCGAUUGGAGCGGCCGAUGUCAGAUUAGGUAGUUGGUGGGGUAAAGGCUCACCAAGCCAACGAUCUGUAGCUGGUCUGAGAGGACGACCAGCCAAACUGGGACUGAGGCACGGCCCAGACUCCUACGGGAGGCAGCAGUGGGGAAUUUUGGACAAUGGGCGCAAGCCUGAUCCAGCAAUGCCGCGUGCAGGAAGAAGGCCUUCGGGUUGUAAACUGCUCUUGUACGGAACGAAAAGGCUCUGGUUAAUACCUGGGGCUCAUGACGGUACCGUAAGAAUAAGCACCGGCUAACUACGUGCCAGCAGCCGCAGUAACAC